AGCUGAACGCAUCUAAGCUCGAAACCCACCUGGAAAAGAGAUACCACCGAGGCCACUCGUAGAAGACGAGAUCGAUAGACUCGGGGUGUACGCACCAAGGCAACGAGGUGUUGAGCCCGCGAGCACUAAC
rnacentral:rRNA from 1 species